GUCCAGGGAAGUGCCAGCAGUAACGUAGUGGUCAUAUCUCUCAACCAAGCCGCCAACAUAGUUGAGAAGAAAAUCCCUGAGAUGGAAGAGUCUUUAGGGAGAGCGCUGGGCUGGACCGUGAGGGUCAUCAGGGUCUCCAGCUCUAACGGAGGAGAGGCUGAAUCAAGAACAUUUAGGAACGACGUCAAGACGUUUGUCUUGCAUAAUUGCCACAGAUGUCGACAAAGUCAUCCCUGCUGAGGAGAUUAAAAGGAAGCUGCAAAGUGAAAGUGCCACUGUGAAGGCGGAACUUGAGAAGGUGUUUGGGGCGGGGCUCGAGUUUGACGUGCAGGAAGAUCCGGUGGAAGCAUCUAACCAGGCCAUCGUCAUCGCCCCAGGAGUCCUUCUGGGGCUGAGCAUGCUGGGAUUGCUUUUGAUGGGGUAAUACACAAUCGUCAAGUGAUAAUUUAUAGUUUGAAAACUCCUUUCGGAAAAAUGUAGAAUAUGAACUUGAAUGAAUAUGAAGAGUGCCGGUUCUUUUCCUGAUCAUGGGAAACUAAACCAAUUCCAAACCCACCCCAACUAAACCCACCCCAGUCUUCCACUCCCUCCACUGGCUUCCAAUCAACCAAAAUAUCAUUAACAAAGUCCUUCUCCUAGUUCACAAGGCCAUAAACUCUACCGGUCCAACCUGUCUCCAGGACCUCCUAACCCCUCAUUUCAGAUCUAGGUCACGUAGGUCCGGAAACUCAAACCUCCUUGCAGUUCCAACGGAAAAAAUUGACUAAAAUGGGAGAUUGUGCUU